UUGCCUACGGGAGGCAGCAGUGGGGAAUCUUGGGCAAUGGGCGCAAGCCUGACCCAGCAACGCCGCGUGAAGGAAGAAGGCUCUCGGGUUGUAAACUUCUUUUAUCAGGGACGAAGCAAGUGACGGUACCUGAUGAAUAAGCCACGGCUAACUACGUGCCAGCAGCCGCGGUAAUACGUAGGGGGCAAGCGUUGUUCGGAAUGACUGGGCGUAAAGGGUGUGUAGGCGGGGUAGCAAGUUAGAAGUGAAAUACCUAGAGCUUAACUCAGGGGCUGCUUCUAAAACUGCUAUACUUGAGUGCAGUA
rnacentral:rRNA from 1 species